GUCAUCAGUAAGCAAGAGGAGUGUCUAAAGGAACUGGAGGAACUCAAAUUUGAAAUCCAGAAGUGUCAAUUCGAGAGGGAUGAACUUUAUCAAAUCCUGGAUCUUUAUAUCUAUGAUGAGUGGGACCACAGGCUGCAUGUCGAAUAGCCAGUCCUUCAAUCCGAACAUGAGAUGAGAAUGAUGGCUAUGCAAAUGAUGACCAACUCAAUAAGUGAUGCCAUGGAGAGGUACAAGGAGCUCAUACAAGUGAACAGUUCCUACCGCAUCAGGCUGUCCCAGCUCCUGCGUGAACAAGCUCAAUUGGAGAACAAUAUACAGAUUUUGCUGAAUGAGAAGAGAGAACUGCUGGUGGAGCAGACUGAACUGCCAGCAUCUUCUGUGGAGACAAAGAGGUUCUGAGAAGAGGCUGGAAUGAACAUCUGUGACCCCAGAGCCAAGCAACUACAGGUCUGAAAUUCUCCAGCAGAAACUCGAACAUGACACAGUCCAGGACAAGAUCUCCCUUGGAGAGAAGUGCUACAGGAGGAGGACUAAGUGUGCACAGCAAAUGCACCACUAUUGCAUCUCAUCUGUACUGUCCAUAGCAAUUGUGGACUGCAUUUUCCUCCUUUAGUUUGAUUUCUUUGGAUUGAAUACGCUGUAUUUUCACCUUGCCUCUCUCCAGCAAGUGUACACUUUUCGAGGGACUCAGAGAAGUGCUGAUGCACAUCUAUCAAGAGCUGCUGGUCAUCCAGAAAGACUGUGCACGUGUAAAUUUGUACUUGUCCUGAUGGGUCAUCCAGAAGAGUUUCAUGGAGAUCAGUUCACAAUAUUGGAAAGACUUUGUGACAAAGUCUGUAAUAUCAUUUAUACUCAGUAUUGGUAGGCUUUUUCCUUAAUACCCCCACUCCAACAAAACAGACCUACUUCCACUCCUCUUGAAAAGAUUAUUACCAUCACUAACUGCUUGUCUACUAUGUCUCCAAGGCAAGCCACAGGCUAUAAGUCUAUUCUGCAAAAGGAGCAGCAAAAAAUGCUUAGUGCAAUUCCUCUAUUUAAAGUUUGGUUAAUUUUUAAUUGUUUUGGUUAUUUGGUUUUCCUUCUAUUCAUUUGAAGAUUUGUUAUUUAUCUGUUGUUGUUGUUUUGUUCAUUUGCUUUUCUAUUUUGAUAAGGAUAUAGACUGUAUAUAUUGACUACCUGCAUCUGGUUACUAUCAAGUAAAUUGGAUGUAUUCUGGUCAAUAAAGGAGUAAUCUCAAA